rnacentral:rRNA from 1 species
GACGAACGCUGGCGGCGUGCUUAACACAUGCAAGUCGAACGGAAAGGCCCCUCUGGGGGGGCUCGCGAGGCGAAAACGGGAGUAUAACACGUGUGAGAUCCGCUCGGCACCGGGGGAUAAUCAGGGAAAAGGGGGUCUAACACGAUAGAGAAGCUUGCUUCAUGGUGGGGGUUGGAAAGCUUUUGCGGUGUAGGAUGAACUCGCGGCCUAUCAGCUUGUUGGUGGGGUAGUGGCUUACCAAGGCGUCGACGGGUAGCCGGCCUGAGAGGGCGGACGGCCACAUUGGGACUGAGAUACGGCCCAGACUCCUACGGGAGGCAGCAGUGGGGAAUAUUGCACAAUGGGCGGAAGCCUGAUGCAGCAACGCCGCGUGCGGGAUGACGGCCUUCGGGUUGUAAACCGCUUUCAGCAGGGGCGAAGCUUGUUGUGACGGUACCUACAGAAGAAGCACCGGCUAACUACGUG